GUCCCCCCAUCCCCACCUCUCUCGCAGCACACAUUCAAUCUAAACCUAAAUCGCCGCCGCCGCCCCCGACCUACCCAUAGAUUUGCUCGCAUCGCCGUCUCUCCCAACACGGCAUCCCACCCAUGGCCGUCCUCUAGUCCUGCGUGUUGCCCUGUCAUCCACGGCCGAGGAGUUGCUGCCCCAUCUGCAGCCAAGGCGCCGCCGCCUAGUCCACUGCAUAGGAGCUGGCGAGGAGGCAACUGCAGUUCUGGAGUCGCCCCGCCGUUCUUCUUCCUCCACCAGCGACCCCUGUCCAGAUCGACACCCUUGUCCUGCCCCGACUCCAGGCCACUGCAGGAGAAAAGAUGGAAGGAACAAGAGGUGGAAGUGAGCUCCCUGCAUACGAACAAUCAAGAGUUAGGCUCGUAGCAGACAUGAAUUGGCUGAAGAACUUGGCUAUGACCCACAGAGAGAUGAAAUAUUUGUCAGAGCACAUACACAUAAAAUUGGAGUUCCUACCGCACAAGCAGACACUAAUUAACAACCUGAAGAAGCAGCUGAACCGCCAACAACACUUGCAAUGGAAAUUCAAUUUUGUCGACAAGAUGAACAUGUUUCUACUCUACUAGAGCUCACGGAACAAAUGCAACGAAAAAUUGGAGAGAUGCAUCAAGUUCUCUUUUCUCAAGGAAUCAGAAAUGUCGAAAUACCAGAUUCAUGAAUACAUUCCUGACCUCGCACAUCAAAUCACCGGUCUGAUCUUGUUGUCCAACGACCGAGAGUUCCGAGACGAAUGCGUGGCACUCCUCAGGAAACAUAGGGACAUAUGGCAGAAAGUAGGAAGUCCACAAGUUGAUCUAAGAUGUUCCAGUGAUCGCUUUUGUUCAUUACAUAUGGAAGUUGAUGUCGGCUUGUGAUCGAUGGAUUGGUAUUUUUCAUAUAAGGAAGUUGAUGCUGGCUUGGUGAUUGAAGGAUUGGUCUCUUUCAUAAUUGCUCUCUUAGAAGCUUGCCCCUCAUAUUUUGGAGCAGGUCGCGUCUUGUAUGUAAGACCUAUGUAUUUCCUUAAUAGAUGUAGCUAACUUGAGUGAAGAAAACUAAUGAAUCUUUAAUUUAUGUUGAAUAAAUGUAUUGGUCAAUGGUAUGUUGUGAUGAAUAGAAGAGUAAUUGUUUGUAUA